AUGUCACUUCCUGUGUCAGAUCCAAGCCCCCUGCAUAACCAGCGCUGCGUCCGCUCAUCACUCAUUCUCAGUUCUGCUCUCAGGUCCAGUAUGAGCACAGCUCUCUUAGUGCUGCUCUUCACAUCACUGUGGAAUGCAGGCUCUGCUGAAGGGAAUGAUGUCACACAGACACCUAGAACAUUGUGGAAACAACUUGGAGAUUCUGCAAAGAUGAGUUGUAGUCACACUAAGGGUGCAACCUACAAUCAGAUGUACUGGUACCGACAGCGUCAAGGGGAGACCAUGGGGCUGGUUGUCUUCACUACUUCAUAUGGCACAGAAGAGUUUGGAGAUGUCAACAGUAGUAGAUAUUCCACUGUUAAAACUGUACCUGAGAGUGGAUCGUUAACAGUAAGUGAAGUGGAAUCUGAUGACAGUGGCCUUUACUUCUGUUCAAUUUUGCAGAGAAACAAUGUCACUCACACCCCUGGAAUAUGGGGACAAGGCAAAUCUGCUGAGAUGACCCGCAGCCACUCCAAAAGCGUUGCCUACAGUAUAAUCAGAUGGAUUGGUAUCGGCAACGCCAAGGGGAAUCAGUGA